GCCAACUCUUCUCCCUGUUUCUUCUGUUCUUAUCUGGUAGUAUUUAGGCUUUUUGUAUUUUGUUGUAUUCAGCUCAGUCCUCCAAGCCUUCCCUUGAGGCCACUCUGUAAUAACCUGGUCAUGUUUUUGUUGUUAUUUUCCUAGGUUUUGUGUUUGGGGAUAUUUGUAGCCUUCUUGCCAUCCUUUGUUCACAUCCUCGUUGCUAGGAGCGCUUGAGCUCACACAUUGGUUCAUCAUUGUUGAUGAGUGUCUCCACCUGCUGCCAUCACUAAUCAACCACCCGUUUUAUACCCGGCUCGCCGUUCACUCAGCACAGCAUAGUUAGCUCGUUUUGUGAUUCUGAUGUUACGUGCAAAGGGUCGCAGCUUGCUGCAAGGGUCGUUCCCCCGGGAUGCAGACGGAACACUCCGGACAGGAC